GUGAUUCUCCUGCCUCAGUCUCCUGAGUACCUGGGACUACAGGAUUAAAAACGAAUUGCUUUGGGUCAACAGAGGAUGAAGAAACUUAUUUUGACUGAAGUUACUAGAUGAGAUACGGCUAUGACAACUUUAGAGGAGGCAGAGUCUCACUCUGUCACCCAGGCUGGAGUGCAGUGGUACAAUCAUAGCUUACAGCAGCUUUGAAUUCCUGGGCUCCAGUGAUCUACCCUCCUCAACCUCCUGAGCAACUGGAACUUGAGGUUCGUGCUGCCACACCCAGCUAAUUAAAAAAAAAAAGUUUUUU
rnacentral:lncRNA from 1 species